GGGAGGUGAGUGGUGUUGCCGGCUGACUUCAGGCUGUGACGGGGAAGGCAGUGGAUGAGAAACACUACACUCACUUAGAUGUGGAGGUAGUGUUGGCCUCUUGCAGUGCACGGUUGAGGGCUGGACUGUGGUUAACGAGGAGAGGUUCAAGAUGCUGUGGCAAGGUCAUAAGUUUACUACCCCUGUCACCUGCGUAAUAUAUUCCUGAGGAGAGAAGGAUGAUGACAGCUGAGCUGAGGUUCCUGGACGAGAGGUCCAGGCAAGCAAGUCUGGGAUGGUUGCCAACUGAGAAGACACAGGGGCCAUAAUGGUGGAGAGUGCAGCCUCUACUGCACUUUGACACUGUGCUUGAGCUUCAGUCAGACUCUGUUCCAACAGCCUCCCAUCUUCCUCUGUAUGGAGAGAAAUGAAAUAAAUAAAAUAAAAACUUGAGAUGAAAGAAGUAAAUCAGGAGUAGGUGUGAAUGAAGUGGUGGGAUUCCAGCUGAACUUGGUGGCAAUUGUUGCGAAGCGUGUGGCUAAGGAGUGUUCUGUGCUGUCUAUUGCCAUCACCAACUCUCCUG